AAGCCUGUGAAGGUGUGCUGUGAGGUAUGCUGGAGGUAUCAGAAGUGCGAAUGCUGACAUAAGUAACGAUAAAGCGGGUGAAAAGCCCGCUCGCCGGAAGACCAAGGGUUCCUGUCCAACGUUAAUCGGGGCAGGGUGAGUCGACCCCUAAGGCGAGGCCGAAAGGCGUAGUCGAUGGGAAACAGGUUAAUAUUCCUGUACUUGGUGUUACUGCGAAGGGGGGACGGAGAAGGCUAUGUUGGCCGGGCGACGGUUGUCCCGGUUUAAGCGUGUAGGCUGGUUUUCCAGGCAAAUCCGGAAAAUCAAGGCCGAGGCGUGAUGACGAGGCACUACGGUGCUGAAGCAACAAAUGCCCUGCUUCCAGGAAAAGCCUCUAAGCAUCAGGUAACAUCAAAUCGUACCCCAAACCGACACAGGUGGUCAGGUAGAGAAUACCAAGGCGCUUGAGAGAACUCGGGUGAAGGAACUAGGCAAAAUGGUGCCGUAACUUCGGGAGAAGGCACGCUGAUACGUAGGUGAAGCGACUUGCUCGUGGAGCUGAAAUCAGUCGAAGAUACCAGCUGGCUGCAACUGUUUAUUAAAAACACAGCACUGUGCAAACACGAAAGUGGACGUAUACGGUGUGACGCCUGCCCGGUGCCGGAAGGUUAAUUGAUGGGGUUAGCGCAAGCGAAGCUCUUGAUCGAAGCCCCGGUAAACGGCGGCCGUAACUAUAACGGUCCUAAGGUAGCGAAAUUCCUUGUCGGGUAAGUUCCGACCUGCACGAAUGGCGUAAUGAUGGCCAGGCUGUCUCCACCCGAGACUCAGUGAAAUUGAACUCGCUGUGAAGAUGCAGUGUACCCGCGGCAAGACGGAAAGACCCCGUGAACCUUUACUAUAGCUUGACACUGAACAUUGAGCCUUGAUGUGUAGGAUAGGUGGGAGGCUUUGAAGUGUGGACGCCAGUCUGCAUGGAGCCGACCUUGAAAUACCACCCUUUAAUGUUUGAUGUUCUAACGUGGACCCGUGAUCCGGGUUGCGGACAGUGUCUGGUGGGUAGUUUGACUGGGGCGGUCUCCUCCUAAAGAGUAACGGAGGAGCACGAAGGUUGGCUAAUCCUGGUCGGACAUCAGGAGGUUAGUGCAAUGGCAUAAGCCAGCUUGACUGCGAGCGUGACGGCGCGAGCAGGUGCGAAAGCAGGUCAUAGUGAUCCGGUGGUUCUGAAUGGAAGGGCCAUCGCUCAACGGAUAAAAGGUACUCCGGGGAUAACAGGCUGAUACCGCCCAAGAGUUCAUAUCGACGGCGGUGUUUGGCACCUCGAUGUCGGCUCAUCACAUCCUGGGGCUGAAGUAGGUCCCAAGGGUAUGGCUGUUCGCCAUUUAAAGUGGUACGCGAGCUGGGUUUAGAACGUCGUGAGACAGUUCGGUCCCUAUCUGCCGUGGGCGCUGGAGAACUGAGGGGGGCUGCUCCUAGUACGAGAGGACCGGAGUGGACGCAUCACUGGUGUUCGGGUUGUCAUGCCAAUGGCACUGCCCGGUAGCUAAAUGCGGAAGAGAUAAGUGCUGAAAGCAUCUAAGCACGAAACUUGCCCCGAGAUGAGUUCUCCCUGACCCUUUAAGGGUCCUGAAGGAACGUUGAAGACGACGACGUUGAUAGGCCGGGUGUGUAAGCGCAGCGAUGCGUUGAGCUAACCGGUACUAAUGAACCGUGAGGCUUAACCUUACAACGCCGAAG
rnacentral:rRNA from 1 species